CCUACGGGGGGCAGCAGUGAGGAAUAUUGGUCAAUGGGCGCGAGCCUGAACCAGCCAAGUAGCGUGAAGGAUGACUGCCCUACGGGUUGUAAACUUCUUUUAUAAAGGAAUAAAGUGAGGCACGUGUGCCUUUUUGUAUGUAUUUUAUGAAUAAGGAUCGGCUAACUCCGUGUCAGCAGCCGCGGUAAUACGGAGGAUCCGAGCGUUAUCCGGAUUUAUUGGGUUUAAAGGGAGCGUAGAUGGGUUGUUAAGUCAGUUGUGAAAGUUUGCGGCUCAACAGUAAAAUUGCAAUUGAUACUGGCAGCCGUGAGUAGAGUUGAGGUAGGCGGAAUUCGUGGUGUAGCGGUGAAAUGCUUAGAUAUCACGAAGAACUCCGAUUGCGAAGGCAGCCUACUAAACUGACACUGACAUUGAGGCUCGAAAGUGUGGGUAUCAAACAGGAUUAGAUACCCUAGUAGUA
rnacentral:rRNA from 1 species